rnacentral:rRNA from 1 species
AGCGAACGCUGGCGGCAGGCCUAACACAUGCAAGUCGAACGGCAGCACAGGAGAGCUUGCUCUCUGGGUGGCGAGUGGCGGACGGGUGAGGAAUACAUCGGAAUCUACUUUUUCGUGGGGGAUAACGUAGGGAAACUUACGCUAAUACCGCAUACGACCUACGGGUGAAAGCAGGGGGUCUUCGGACCUUGCGCGAUUGAAUGAGCCGAUGUCGGAUUAGCUAGUUGGCGGGGUAAAGGCCCACCAAGGCGAAGAUCCGUAGCUGGUCUGAGAGGAUGAUCAGCCAAACUGGAACUGUGACACGGUCCAGACUCCUACGGGAGGCAGCAGUGGGGAAUAUUGGACAAUGGGCGCAAGCCUGAUCCAGCCAUACCGCGUGGGUGAAGAAGGCCUUCGGGUUGUAAAGCCCUUUUGUUGGGAAAGAAAUCCAGCUGGUUAAUACCCGGUUGGGAUGACGGUACCCAAAGAAUAAGCACCGGCUAACUUCGUGCCAGUCGCCGCGGUAA